rnacentral:rRNA from 1 species
UACGGAGGGUGCAAGCGUUAUCCGGAUUCACUGGGUUUAAAGGGUGCGUAGGCGGGCAGGUAAGUCCGUGGUGAAAUCUCCGGGCUUAACCCGGAAACUGCCGUUGAUACUAUUAGUCUUGAAUUCGGUUGAGGUUGGCGGAAUGUGUCGUGUAGCGGUGAAAUGCUUAGAUAUGACACAGAACACCGAUUGCGAAGGCAGCUAGCUAAUCCGACAUUGACGCUGAGGCACGAAAGCGUGGGGAUCAAACAGG